CCGUUUCGAUUUGUUGGGGACAGAUGAAGUGGAUGUGGGUGUCAAUGCCGCCGGCCGUGACGAUCGCCCCUUCACCCGCAAUGAUUUCCGUGCCGGGGCCGAUGAUGAUGUCCACGCCCGCUUGAGUGUAGGGGUUGCCGGCCUUCCCGAUCACCGCGAUUUUGCCCUGCUUAAUGCCAAUGUCGGCUUUAAUUACACCCCACCAAUCGAGGAUCACGGCAUUCGUAAUCACCGUAUCCAUCGCCCCGUCACUGUUAGUAAUGGGCGAUUGACCCAUACCAUCCCGA
rnacentral:sRNA from 1 species